GACGAACGCUGGCGGCGUGCUUAACACAUGCAAGUCGAGCGGUAAGGCCCUUUCGGGGGUACACGAGCGGCGAACGGGUGAGUAACACGUGGGCGACCUACCCUCAGCUUCGGGAUAAGCCUGGGAAACUGGGUCUAAUACCGGAUAUGACCUUCCCUCGCAUGGGGGUUGGUGGAAAGUUUUUUCGGCUGGGGAUGGGCCCGCGGCCUAUCAGCUUGUUGGUGGGGUGAUGGCCUACUAAGGCGACGACGGGUAGCCGGCCUGAGAGGGCGACCGGCCACACUGGGACUGAGACACGGCCCAGACUCCUACGGGAGGCAGCAGUGGGGAAUCUUGCGCAAUGGGCGAAAGCCUGACGCAGCGACGCCGCGUGAGGGAUGACGGCC
rnacentral:rRNA from 1 species